UGGGGAAUUUUACGCAAUGGGCGAAAGCCUGACGUAGCGACACCGCGUGAACGAAGAAGCCUUUUGGGGUGUAAAGUUCUGUCGGCUGGGAAGAAAAAAAUGACGGUACCAGCAAAGGAAGCAUCGGCUAACUACGUGCCAGCAGCCGCGGUAAGACGUAGGAUGCAAGCGUUGUCCGGAUUUAUUGGGCGUAAAGAGUUCGUAGGCGGUUUGUUAAGUCUGAUGUUAAAUAUCGGGGCUCAACCUCGGGACUGCAUCGGAUACUGGCAGACUGGAGUGCGGUAGAGGUAAGUGGAAUUUCUGGUGUAGCGGUGAAAUGCGUAGAUAUCAGGAAGAACACCGGUGGCGUAGGCGACUUACUGGGCCAUAACUGACGCUGAGGAACGAAAGCCAGGGGAGCGAAUGGGAUUAGAUACCCCCGUAGUCC
rnacentral:rRNA from 1 species